GUGGGGAAUCUUGCGCAAUGGGCGAAAGCCUGACGCAGCCAUGCCGCGUGAAUGAUGAAGGUCUUAGGAUUGUAAAAUUCUUUCACCGGGGACGAUAAUGACGGUACCCGGAGAAGAAGCCCCGGCUAACUUCGUGCCAGCAGCCGCGGUAAUACGAAGGGGGCUAGCGUUGCUCGGAAUUACUGGGCGUAAAGGGCGCGUAGGCGGACAGUUUAGUCAGAGGUGAAAGCCCAGGGCUCAACCUUGGAAUUGCCUUUGAUACUGGCUGUCUUGAGUGUGAGAGAGGUAUGUGGAACUCCGAGUGUAGAGGUGAAAUUCGUAGAUAUUCGGAAGAACACCAGUGGCGAAGGCGACAUACUGGCUCAUUACUGACGCUGAGGCGCGAAAGCGUGGGGAGCAAACAGGAUUAGAUACCCUGGUAGUCC
rnacentral:rRNA from 1 species